CCCUUAGAUGUUCUGGGCCGCACGCGCGCUACACUGACGAUGGCAACGAGUUUUUCCUUCGCCGAAAGGUGUGGGUAAUCUUUUGAAACAUCGUCGUGCUGGGGAUAGAUCAUUGCAAUUUUUGAUCUUGAACGAGGAAUUCCUAGUAAGCGCGAGUCAUCAGCUCGCGUUGAUUACGUCCCUGCCCUUUGUACACACCGCCCGUCGCUACUACCGAUUGAAUGGUUUAGUGAGGACUCCUGAUUGGCGCCGCCGCCCCGGCAACGGAGCAGCGGACUGCCGAAAAGUUGUUCAAACUUGAUCAUUUAGAGGAAGUAAAGGUCGUAACA
rnacentral:rRNA from 1 species